UACGAAGGGGGCGAGCGUUGUUCGGAAUUACUGGGCGUAAAGGGCGCGCAGGCGGCCUUAGAAGUCAGAUGUGAAAGCCCCGGGCUCAACCUGGGAAUGGCAUUUGAUACUCUGAGGCUGGAGUACGGGAGAGGAGAGUGGAAUUCCCAGUGUAGAGGUGAAAUUCAUAGAUAUUGGGAAGAACACCGGUGGCGAAGGCGGCUCUCUGGACCGUAACUGACGCUGAGGCGCGAAAGCGUGGGGAGCAAACAGG
rnacentral:rRNA from 1 species